CCAGGUGCCCCAACUUUUUUUUUUUCUACUUUCAACUUGGGACUAGAGAAAGCCAAAUGCACACCCCUAACUCAUCAGACCGGACUGCCCCCCACCCCCCCAGUUCUUGUGGGUCCACUUCCAGCUUCCCCAGACCAACAGCCUCUGAGCAGGACACAGGAAGCUUCUUUCCCCAUUUCCGCCCCGAUGAAGCCUCCACCUCCCCUGCCCGCUUCCGUGUCUGCUGAACGCAAGUGACAUUGACUGCAUCCCUCACCGCUGCAAGCUCUGAAUAAAUAGCCUCUGCCUGUUCUUGGCUAAUUGGUCCUGGUUUAUUUCCACACGUGUUUUAGCUCUUGGGAGAGGUUCGAGUUCAUUGGGUGUGCCUGUGACUUUUCUGGAACUCCUUCUGCCCAUCUCCCUCCUGUCCCUAAGUGAAACCGAGCAGAUGGAGGGCAGGUCUCAUACCCUCUCUGCCACAGGAAACUGACCUCCUCCAGGGGCAGAGUGGUCCUUAAGCCAUUCCUUCCUAAUCCCUAGCAGCUCCAGAAAAGCAUCAUUUUUAGCCAAAGCCGGGAGUUCCUUUCAGAUGAACCUUCAGACCUGACUGGUGUUUCAGGCUCAUUUGAAUCCUCAAUGGGCUAAGGAAGGGCAGGUGGGGCUUUCUCCAUUGGAAACACGCGUUCGGCCAUUCUUCCUGUUAUUUAGUUACUCAAGGUACAUUUAUCACAUGAUGAAUUCUGAAAUAAAGGUUUGAUUUCUUCUUUAUUUUCAAGGACGUUUUUUUGAGCACAUUAUUUUUGAUUCUGGUGAAACUAAAGUUCCCUGGCGUGGCGCCUGGGAGAUAGUGGUUCAAAGUGCAGUCGCAAGGAUCAGGCUCGUAAUUCAAUAGCUCACUGAGGGGGUGUUAUUUUUCACCCCAGCUUUUCACAAUUUUCAUCCAUUUUCUGAUGCUAAGUAUUUAUGCUGUUGUGUCUCUGCUUGUUUUAUUUUAAAAUUACUUGUGUAAUUACGAAGUACACAUACAAGGAGCGUAUGCUCAUUGCUUAAUGCUCAGCCCUUAAGUCCGAGUCCUGACAUCUGUCCAUCACCUGACAACCAUUGGAAAGGGCCUACAAAGUCGGAUUGAGUGGGAAGCUAAAGAUGCCUGAGUUCUAGGGCCCCUCAUUUUCUAUCUCCUUCCAAGCCCCCGGGAGGGGCCCUGCCCACGUGUUGACACGCUCACAAUGAUUUUGUAAAAUUUGCAAAAGGAGCAUAUUUUAGCCACGAUUGGUCAAGAUGCCUGUUGCUUUCUAUUCAACAUUCCCUACUGUCACAUUGCUUCCUCUUGUGUUGGGUUCGGUGAAAGGAGUUUCGAGGAAUUUUGAGACCUGCCUUGGAGGAGGUUGAGUUGGGGAUUUAACUGGUUUCAGUGUAAUGGGAUAAGUCUAUGUGUGCCGCUAAGUUCUUGCUCCCAAGGUUUAUGAUGGGCCAAGUGGCAAAGCUUGAGGUCAACUCUACUGCUAAUGAUAUUAACAUGAUAGAUACUCCGUGCCUUUCCCUUUCUUUGUGGCCAGUCAAGGCCUUGGAUUCUUUAACUUAGAUGCCACCCGUAUCUCCCAUACUUGCUGACAUGAGAUGGUAAUCCUACCUCCCUUUCUAGUUCCAACACACUUUCCUCAACUUAUCGCCCUGUCUUCUUUCUUACACAACCCUCUGUACGCAAACCGGACCCUAUGCCCAUUGCCACCCUAUGCCCAUGCUCGACCCUGCAAUGGCAGCACUCAACACUGUCCACACAGGUUCUCACUCAGGUCUUGCUCAUUGGACGCAAAAUAUUGACACAGUUAGAGAUAACACAGAGCCCAUACUAACUCACUCCUUGAGGACAUCAAUGACAGACUGGUUAAGGUUGGUCUUUUAAAGAGUAUCUAAAGUUAGUCCGUGUAUAAGAAAACUUGAAAAGCCCACACAUGCCAGAAAUCGGUAUUUUCAUAGAUUUGACAACCAUCCCAUAACACUACAUGACAUGACUAAAGAUAAGGUUCAAAGUUUAAAGAAACCUUUCUAAAUGAAAUUCAAUCAACAUCUAGAGGGAAAUUGAUAUUUUUCCAUUGUCUAUGUAGAAAGUGGCAUUACAAAGCACUCCUAUAUGAAGAGAUGAUCAAAGUACACAUAGAAAUACAGGGAAAAGCAUCAUAAAGGCUUGCUAGGGAGUUGAUUAAUAGAAAUAUUUUUGUAGAUAUUAGGAUGUGUGGCAUUUGUCAGGUUUUUAUUAUUUUGAUUUUUUGUGAUAUCUUUUCUCAUUCCACAUGUUUACCUGCAUAUCUAGUUUUUAAUUAAAUUUUAAUUUUGAGAUCCUUGUCAAUUCACCUGCAGUUGUAAAAAAAACAGCAAAGAGAGCCUCUGUUUCCUUUAUGUAUAGGCAGAAAUGAUGUAAAUACAUAGAUUCUGUAUUUCCUUGUUUCCCCCAAGGCAAUGUCUUACAAGAGCAUAGUGGAAUAUCAAAACCAGAAUGUUGACAAUGAUACAGUCCAUAUCUAAUUUUUAUUUGCAGUCUUGUGCCUUUUUUCUCAAGAGCUCCCCUUCCCCCAAGUCUAAUAAGCUGUAAGUUUCAGGUCCCCCAAACCAUGGAUCUCCACCCCCCCCACCCCCCACCCCCCCGUAUGUGCUGGCCACCAUUUUUGGUGCUGGUGAUGGAGCAUUGAACAGAGACAGAGUCCCUGGCUUCAGGGAGCUUACAUUCUGGGGAGGGAGCUGGAAAAUCAAACAUAGAGUCUGUUCGAUGGUGAUGAGUACUGCUCCCAAAAGAAAGCAGGGAGGGGAUCAGGAAUACGGUGACGGAUCGGAGUUGCCCGUUUGAGAAGGGUGGCUGGGAAGAAAGGAUUCACUGGGCAGAGACACGAAGAAAGUGAAGGAGCAAAGCCAAGAGGGCUUUGCAGGGAGACGGAAGGGCCAAGUCCCCGAGGGCGCGUACCUGCGGUGUUUGAGGAGUAGCGUGGAGGCUGAGCGAGCCAGGUGGGGAGCAGGGUGUCUGGAGCGGAGAUAGGUGUAGAUGUGGCAGGUGGAGCUGGGCCUCCAGCCUCGUGGGACGCAGGAGGAGCUCAUUUUGCUCUGAAAGAAUUGGGAAGGUAUCAAAAGAACACAUUAAAACAGGGACCAGCUUAAACGGGGUUUGCAUCCUUAAAAACAAGUUGUUGAUGAAGUAAACUGGGGGUUUUGUUUUUUUAACAGAGGCAGCACUGCGCAUGUGCAAGACAGGAACACUCGCCUCCAGGAUGAGCCUGGACCCAAGAAUCUUCAGUCUACAGAACUUAGAGAACAGCAGUGUUGCCACAGGAGCCCUUUACAAAGUGAGAGGUCCUUCUGGAAGGAGGACCUGGCUUCCAGCAGCACAAGGAGCUUACAUGAAUGAUGGGAGACUAGCCCAUCAACGUCCGAGUUUGAAAUUUCCCUAAUCCCUUAAAUUCACCUCUAGCCCUGGAUCUGGGAGACACAUUGCAGUCCUGUCUCCUGUCUCCUUGUCAGUCAUUCUUGCAACAAAGCUCUUUCAUUUCUCAAAAGCCAGACGACAGAGCUGGCUUCUACAUACAUCGGGCAGCCAGCCCUUGCUUGGUAUAUUGUAUUGUUAAGAGUUCUGAGCAGAUAGACAGUGAGAUAAGACUUAGAUUUAAAAGAACUGCUCUGGCUGAGAAUAGCUGGGGUAUAAGGCAAAGAAAGAAGCAGGAAGCAGGACCAGCUAGGUAGCUUGUGGGGCAGAUGUAAAAUGAAAGGCUUGGAGUUCGUGUCACGGCGCAGCGGAAAUGAAUCCAGCUGGGAACCAUGAGGUUGUGGGUUCGAUCCCUGGCCUCGCUCAGUGGGUUAAGGAUCCAGCAUCGCCGUGAGCUGUGGUGUAGGUUGCAGACAUGGCCCAGAUCUGGUGUUGCUGUGGCUAUGGUGUAGGCUGGCGGCUGUAGCUCUGAUUCGACCCCUAGCCUUGGAACCUCCAUAUGCCACGGGUGCAGCCCGGGAAAAAAAAAUAAAGCAAAAAAUAAAAAUAAAAUGAAAGGCUUAUUUGAAAAGCAGAGAAAAAGCUUUGCUUCCAUGGUCUCCCUCUUGGCCUCUCCCUGUGUUCGCUAUAUGCUGUUAUGUUCCAUCAGGUAGGGGGACACACUGGGGUGAAUGCAGACAAACACAGUUGCCUGGGGCCCUGCUGGGUGGCAGUGGUUCUUGGCGGCAGGGGCAGUGAUCGGAAGAGGGGUAGCCAAGAACUUGACCCAAACCAUGAGAGAGCGAGACACAUAGCCACCCCUGAGGCUCCAGACCCCAAGGGGCAUGCAGACUUGUCCCACUGGGCUUCACUUAGGAAGCACAAAUUCAAGAUAAACUUAUUAUGAAUUUCAAGGCUACCUUCACUGAAUGGUCAGUUCCAAGCAUGGGGACACCUUCAACAUGCAGCCCCAUGCAAGUGCCCUGCUCACACAUGUGUGAUGCCAGCCCUGGUAGGAAGAGCAGGCAAGAGGUAAUUGGGUGAGAGGAGGGUGAUAGCAAAGGAGGCAGGAGAAGGGGAGAGUCUGGAAUAUACGUGGAAGGUAAACUCCAUCAAUUUUCCUGUUGAAUGGAUGGGGGGAGUAAGAAAAAGAGUGACAUCUAACCUGCCUCCCAGGCUUGUGGCUUGAGCAUCUGGGUGAAAGAAAGUGGUAUGUGUAGAGAGGGGAUGAACCUGAGUUUGGUUUUGGACUCUUUGGGUUGGCGAUCUUUUAAGACAUCAGAGCAGACGGUUGGAAAUAUGAGGCUGGCAUUCGGGGUUGGGGGGCUGGAGAUGUAAGUUCUGAGUCACUUGUAUAAAGCUAUUUAAAGCCACCAGAUUGAUUCCCAUCACCUGGGAAGCGAGUGUAGCUAAAAAAGUCUGAGCUCCAAGACCCUGUACAGUUGUGGGAUUCCAGAAAAUGAUCUAAAUAGGGUGGAAUUAAAUACCGUUUAAUGAAUUGAUAUCACAAAGUCAAGUGUGCCUUGGUCACACAUUCCUCUGAAAUGGGCUGCUUACUGGAAGUUAGAGGCAGUAGAACUUUGACUUAGAGGUCCUUAUGAACUUGCAGGGGCCAUGUCCUAUGUCACAGGGAUAGGCCUGCUUUAGAGGGGCAUUCCUGAGCUUAGCAAUCAGAACUCAAGUUCACUCAGGCUGCUUUGCUGCUGCGACACCAGCAAGUGACCAGAAGCUGCCCAUCAGCCACUUUUUUUUUUUUUUUAAGAGCUGCACCUGCGGCAUAUGGAAGUUCCCAGACUAGGGGGUGAAUUGGAGAUGCAUCUGCUGGCCUACACCAUAGCCACGCCAGAUUCGAGCCACAUCUGUGACCGACAGCGGCAGCUUGUGUUAACAGCUGGAUCCUUAACCCACUAGGUGAGGCCAGGGAUGGAACCUGCAUCCUCAUGGAUACUAGUCAGGUUCUUAACCCACUGGGCCGCAACAGGAACUCCAGGCACAGUUUUUGAUAUUUUGGGCGGGGAGCAACAUCAGGGCACAGGUUCCGUGCAGAGGUUUUUGUGUUCCAUGCCUCGCCCUCUCAAGAGGAAGCAGCCAUGUAGCAGUGGUGGUUCUCUGGUGGCUGCAAGACUGAGCUCCUGAUGGCCCAGGGGAUGAUGUGAGGGCAGGAUGGGGGCAGCCUCAACCAUGGUGGUCCCCUAUGAGGCCAGUGGCUGGUGUGGCUUUGGCAGUUUCCAGGAUGCUUAACCUUUAGCCGAGUUCUCCAGCCCUCCCAACCCCACUGUGAACACUCAAUAUUUCUUUAAUAAGCUCUUUUAUUACAGGAUUACUUUUCUUGCUUUCAACUGGGAACAACAGCUGAGAUAAUGACCCUAAUAAUAUAAGUGAUUAAAUAUUUGUAGAGCACAUAGGGCUUGACAGAUAAGCCCUGUAUGAGCAUUUUGCCUUUUAAUUAAUAAAUCUCACUUUGGAUCUCAGACUCCAUCCUAAGAUGCUUAGAUCACACUUACAUCCUACAAGCAUCUCUGUCUCUAAGGAGAUGUUUUGGUUUAACGUGAGGUGCCGUAUUUGCAUCCCCAGAAAAACGCUUCUGUCUUACAAAAGAUGGAAACCAAAAUAGGAUCUGUGCCCAUGGCUAUAAAAUGAAAGCGUUCCAAUGGGAAGGUCUGCUCUUAAUAAGUAAUUUUAUUUUAUUUUUUGUCUUUUGUCUUUUUAGGCCCACACCUGCCGUAUGUGGAGGUUCCCAGGCUAGGGGUCGAAUCAGAGCUGUAGCCGCUGGUCUACACCACAGCCACAGCAACUCCCUAUCCAAGCCACGUCUGUGACCUACACCACAGCUCACAGCAACACCAGAUCCUUAACCCACUGAGCGAGGCCAGGGAUCGAACCUGCAUCCUCAUGGAUACUAGUCAGAUUGGUUUCCACUGCACCAUGACCGGAACUCCCAAGUAAUUUAAGAACUGCUUACGGUGUCCCAACUACACUGUCUUAAGAGCUGAUGGUUCUGUCAUUUGAAAAUAAUGAAGUGUUAGAUUUGGUACCAAUCGCAUUAAGUCAAAGACACAAAUCAGAGGAGUCUGUGGGCAGCCAUGAAAAAAAAAAGGCGGUAAUGAGGUUCUGAAGAAUCCAUCAUUUUCAGCCCGAAGCCUUGUGUAGACAAGAGGCUUCCAUGCGUGUUGAGUUGAAGAGGCAAACUGCAGCAGAGAGAGGGCUCUGCCGAUGAGGUUUGUGCCCUGCCUCUGGCAACGACCGUGUGACUUGGUGAAGACACUUCACUUUGGGAGAUGAUUAGGGGAGGUGACAUAUCGAGGCUUCUUAUGUGGGGAUGCUCGGCAAAGAGCUCUGAGAUGUUUGUUCCCUUUUCCUCUCUCCUCAGCUAUAAAACCAGGACGAUCUUCAUACUGCGUGCAUUUCAGGACUGCAGCACUGCUGUUAGAAUUUAAGCGAUAACGUAGGUGUAAGCAACUUUGCAAGCUAGAAGGUCUUUAUUAUUGAACAUGAUGAACUUCAUCUUUUUUCCUGACUUAUUUUGCUGCCUUUUGAAUUAAGAGAAUGUGGCAAGGAUUUAGAAUUUACUAGAAUGUUUGGUAGG
rnacentral:lncRNA from 1 species